UACGUAGGUGGCAAGCGUUAUCCGGAAUUAUUGGGCGUAAAGGGUGCGUAGGCGGUUUAUUAAGUCUAUGGUGAAAGUGCGGGGCUCAACCCCGUAUGGCCAUAGAAACUGAUAGACUAGAGUGCAGGAGAGGGCAAUGGAAUUCCAUGUGUAGCGGUAAAAUGCGUAGAUAUAUGGAGGAACACCAGUGGCGAAGGCGGUUGCCUGGCCUGUAACUGACGCUGAAGCACGAAAGCGUGGGGAGCAAAUAGGAUUAGAUACCCUAGUAGUCCACGCCGUAAACGAUGAAUACUAAGUGUUGGAGAAAUUCAGUGCUGCAGUUAACGCAAUAAGUAUUCCGCCUGGGGAGUAUGCACGCAAGUGUG
rnacentral:rRNA from 1 species